UUUCUUUAGCAGAAGAAAUGAGAAAAAUAUAUCCAAGGUUUCUGCCUCAGGAAGUCUUCUUAAAACUCAGAGUGUGGGGAUUUUGCUGAAGACUUGUCAUGUAGGCACUUGUUGCCUGAGCAACCAAUCACUGUUACUAAAAUUCCAAACUCCGAGAAGUAAAGUGAGUGUUCAUCAUAACUUACAUUGUUUGCACAAGCAAUCUAGGAGACUAAUAUAGCAGAAUUCAGUCUCCCAGUCACAUAAAACUACUUAUCAGUGCAGAGUCUGGCAAAUUCUACAGGCCAGGUUUCCAGAAAUCUUCCCAAAGAUUCUUUCUAGAUUGGAGAACACUAUGGAAAAUGAUAGUUAAGUGAACACAUGACCCUGGAAUGGACUAUGAACCAGAAUGAAGCAAUAUAUUUUACUACAAAUAAGAGUAGUGAGGCAACUGACAAAGUUUGAACACCCUUGGAUUGGAUAAUAUAACGGAGAAGUAAGGAAACGUCAUAGGUGAACGUAAAUACUAAAGGGAGAUUACACCAGGUAGACACUUCGAUCCUUGGAAAUGAAUGCAGAUCAUCAGAAAUGAGCACCCGGCUGGCUCAGUUGGUGGUGAAUGUGACUCUUGAAGCAGGGAAGAAUAUCCAAUGGAAAAAAAGAUGGUCUCUUCAGCAAAUAGUACAGGGAAAACUGGACAGUGACAUACAGAAGAAUGAAACUAGACCACUUUCUUACACCAACACAAAAAUAAAUUCAAAAUGGGUGAAAGACCUAAAGGUGAGGCAGGAAACCAUCAAAAUCCUACAGUAGAAAAAGGCAGCAACCUCUUUGACCUCAGCUGCAGCAACUUCUUCCUACACAUGUCUCUGGAGGUAAGGGAAACAAAAGCAAAAAUGAACUGUUGGGACCUCAUCAGGAUAAAAAGUUUCUGCACAGUGAAGGAAGCAAUCAAUAAAACUAAAAGGCAGCCUACGGAAUGGGAGAAGAUAUUUGAAAACGACAUAUUGUAUAAAGGGUUAGUAUCCAAAAUCUAGGAAGAAAUUAUCAAACUCAACACCCCAAAAAACCAGAUAAUCCAGUGAAAGAAUGAGCAGAGGAUGUGAAUAGACAUUUUUCCAAGAAGACAUCCAGAUGGUUAACAGACACAUGAAAAUAUGUUUCACAUCACUCAUCAUCAGUAGUCAUCUACUUUUGAGUACAAUACAUGAAGCUGGGGUUGUUACCAUGCCCUGAAGAUAAGAGACUAGAACAAGUAAUAAGAUUGGAUUUUAAUAAAACUUUUUCAGGGCUACAUCUUUUACUAGAAAUAAGGACAGAAGGGGAUACAUUUAAAGUUGAUAUUUGUCAACUAUGAUUUUUCACUCUGGAAUCCGUGUGUGCACCAACUCUCCGUACUUAGCAAAGGAGGAAUACAGAUGCCUCAACUGCAUUUUUAGGGAAAAACCAGGAUCUCCUUGAUUUUGAUGGGACCGCAUUCUAAUAUGUAUCUGCCUCAUCAUAGACUUGCCAAAAACAAGGACUGGAACAACCAUGAGGCAGGUCUCUGCAACAGUGAAUCCACUGUGGCUGCUUGAGCGUGAAAUAUUUAGAGAAGAAGAAAACGUUGGAAAAAUUUCUUUAAUUUAGUACACUGUCUCAAUGUCUUCUUAAUGAUACCCAUGUACUUCACCUGGAAAAUCUUCCUUGUCUCCCUAGGCAGGUGUGUACUUUAUCCUAAGCUCCAAUGGGUCUUUAUGUAAAAAUGAUGUCAUGGUGCUGUAAUUAUGUGUUUUCAAGUCUAUCUCUCUUUUACCCAGUAUACUUUUUAUAUUGUAUCUUCUCAUCUUAAGACUUCAGCAUACAGAAAACUCCUGGAACAUAUUAGAAAAUGACUUUUACUUAAUAAACAAAGAGUUAUCCAACCAUGGGCACUUAAGGACUAUCAGGCAAAGAAGAAAAAUUAAGCACUCUUAGGUGCCUUAUGACACUGCCUGAAUAUAUUUGGACACUACAGAACUUCACUAACAAUCACUAUUACAAUAGCUAAUGUGGCAUAGUGGAUAUAUGUUGUGUGGUCUGGUCAGAAUCCGUUCUCCCUUCUAGGAUGAAAGGCUCCCUUUUGGGGUGUGUGUUGGCGGGUUGUUGAUGUGGUAAGGGAUGGGUCUAGAGUUUCUUAUAGCCUUUUGGCUUCCAUGUGGGGAGAGUCUGCAUGAAAACGGAACCAUCACAAAGGAAAAGAGAUAAGGAACAGAAACAUAGAGUUCCUGUAGCCUCAUUUGAGCACCUACGUCUAAUAGGAAGUGGACUUUUCAAAUAUUUAAGCCAAUAAUUUCUUCUUUUCUCCAAGCUACAAUGAAUACCAGGUAACUCACUCGUUGACUUGGAAGGUAGCCUUUUCAAGGAUGCUGUAUUGAAACAAAAUACUUCAUGUGCCUUUCUUCAAGUACCAUUAAACAACCAU